rnacentral:rRNA from 1 species
GAUGAACGCUGGCGGCGUGCCUAAUACAUGCAAGUCGAGCGAACGGACGAGAAGCUUGCUUCUCUGAUGUUAGCGGCGGACGGGUGAGUAACACGUGGAUAACCUACCUAUAAGACUGGGAUAACUUCGGGAAACCGGAGCUAAUACCGGAUGAUAUUUUGAACCGCAUGGUUCAAAAGUGAAAGACGGUCUUGCUGUCACUUAUAGAUGGAUCCGCGCUGCAUUAGCUAGUUGGUAAGGUAACGGCUUACCAAGGCAACGAUGCAUAGCCGACCUGAGAGGGUGAUCGGCCACACUGGAACUGAGACACGGACCAGACUCCUACGGGAGGCAGCAGUAGGGAAUCUUCCGCAAUGGGCGAAAGCCUGACGGAGCAACGCCGCGUGAGUGAUGAAGGUCUUCGGAUCGUAAAACUCUGUUAUUAGGGAAGAACAGAUGUGUAAGUAACUGUGCACAUCUUGACGGUACCUAAUCAGAAAGCCACGGCUAACUACGUG